UACGUAGGGAGCAAGCGUUGUCCGGAAUCAUUGGGCGUAAAGCGCGCGUAGGCGGCCCGGUCAGUCCGUCGUGAAAGUCAAAGGCUCAACCUUUGAAUGUCGAUGGAUACUGCCGGGCUAGAGUCCGGAAGAGGCGAGUGGAAUUCCUGGUGCAGCGGUGGAAUGCGCAGAUAUCAGGAGGAACACCAAUAGCGAAGGCGGCUCACUGGACCGGUUCUGACGCUGAGGCGCGAAAGCGUGGGGAGCAAACGGG
rnacentral:rRNA from 1 species